rnacentral:tRNA from 1 species
GAGGGUAUAGAUCAGCGGUAGAGCUCAUGCUUAGCAUGCACAAGGUCCUGGGUUCAAUCCCCAGUACCUCCA